UACGGAGGAUGCGAGCGUUAUCCGGAUUUAUUGGGUUUAAAGGGUCUGUAGGUGGAUAAAUAAGUCAGUGGUGAAAUGCUGUCGCUUAACGAUAGAACUGCCAUUGAAACUGUUUAUCUUGAGUGUUAUUGAAGUAGCUGGAAUAGGUAGUGUAGCGGUGAAAUGCAUAGAUAUUACCUAGAACACCAAUUGCGAAGGCAGGUUACUAAAUAAUUACUGACACUGAGAGACGAAAGCGUGGGUAGCGAACAGG
rnacentral:rRNA from 1 species